rnacentral:misc_RNA from 1 species
UUUCCGUAGGUGAACCUGCGGAAGGAUCAUUACCGUAUUUAUAAAAAUACAAAAAACCGCUUGAGUACUGUGUAGUUAAAAAUAUGAAUAAAUGUUUAGCAUGACAGUCUCAAACUAAAACGUCUUACCAUCCAACUCAUGCUAAUGUAAAAUGUAUCGAGUGGUAAGAGGCCUAUGUGAACAGUGUUGAUCAUAGGUAAAGGAAAUUAGGUUUACACAGAGUUGUAUGUGUGUAAGUUUUGUAAAUCAUGGCAGGUUAUAAUCCAAUAAAGUAUUGUUUCGCCGUGGUUUAUUCUUACACUUUGUGCUCUGGUAAUUUCCUAAGUUCUUUCGGGAACUUAAAACAAGCAAUAUUAACGUGUAUGUUGUAACAUAAUAAAAACUAAGAGAAAAAAAUCAACCUCGAGUGGUGGAUCACUCGGCUCGU